rnacentral:lncRNA from 1 species
UGCAGAACCUUUGGAUAAUGGCAUUUACAUUUGAAAAAUCACGGCUUGUCUUCUCCCUCUGCUAGAACUAUCUUCCUUACGUUAGAGCCUAGCUAGCCUUAAUAGGAUAGUGAAGGCUACUAUGUGGUACAUGUAUUAUAGCAGGUGUAGUCAAACUUUUGGAAGGUGCUUUAUCUGGGAAAAAAACCCUCAUCAUCUUGUCCAGCCUUUGUGGUAACACAAAGAAAAGGCCCAGUGCUUCUCCCACUGAAGACAAAACCAGUAUUUUCUCUAAUCAGGACAAAAUGAACAUAAAUCUUAUACUGGUCUGGCUAGAAAAAGUCUGGCUAAGUAUGGCAACACCUGUAAUGCCCCUCACCUUCUGAGAGUUAAAUUGCACUGCUGCAAGGAAGUAGUGAUUAAACUCCAUUGCCUCAUGGAUCGAUCCCAGAAAACAGAAUGCAGGCGAAGACAGCUCUUGGACGAGAGGAAGAAUUUAAAUGCAUUUAAAUUAAGAGACUGGCGCUUUACCACAGCCAUUUUCCCGCCACCUAAUUAGAAGGCAUGAAGCCUCUCCUGCCUUUACCUCCGGGAGCAGUCGCUGGGCACGGGGCCGGUGAGCGCAGACAGCUCCCGGUGCGGACAGCUCCCGGUGAGCCGGACAGCUCCCGGUGCUGAAGGAACCGCACCGACGCGCCGAGGGGGGCGGCGAGGGCUGGGCUGAAUAGCACUGUCUGCAGAACAAUGGCAGCGAACUCCAAAUCCUGCUAUAAUCACAUUAAUGAGAUUAAUCAGUGAAUUAGCAGCAGUCAAAUGUCAGGGUGGCGGGGAGGAAUCCAACCAAGCUAGGUAAUUAACUUUUGGGGGGCAGGGGAAGGGAAUCGACUGUGUUGUCUGUUAGGCUUUUCCUGAAGUUCAGCAGGAUUAUUCACCAGCCUUUGGAAGAUUCUGACAAUUCAAGUGGAGGGGGGAGGUGGGGAUAAGACGGAGACCUCAACCUUUGUGUGCUACAAGACAGCCUGCUAAUGCACAGUAUCCCAUUACUUCCAGCUGAAGUCCAUUGAGGAAACUAGCACCGUUUCAGGCACCCUCCACUCCCUGCAGCUGCCAGAGCUGCCUUGGGCUGAGCUCGGAGUGUGAAACUAGUUCUGUGAGCUAACUUUCACCACAGAUUCCAAUAGGCAUGAUAAAUAUGGCGGAUGCCAAAAAAAACAUUAAAUCUUACUCCUUUUCAAAAAUGUACAAGGAAG